rnacentral:lncRNA from 10 species
CAAAUAAUUUAAAAAUAUGUGUUAUAAGGAAGUGGCUGAUAGAGACACAUGGACAAGGAACACAGAGAGUUAUAAAUGUGACCUGUAAGAUUAUGUGCCAGGUUGUCAUGGAAGAAAAUGAUCACAGAAAAUACUGUGAUAUGUCUCAUUAAUUAUUGUCUAUGCAUAAUUUAUGAGCUUCUUAUGAACAAAAAAAUGAUUAAAUAUACUAGAUGUAAUUAUAAUUCAAUCAAUAUUUUUGAGAUGUUAAACAACCACUGAACACUAAUACCUUGGAAUAUUCUAUAUCUGUAUUUGUCUAAAUGGCUUUUGCAGACAAGUGAGGCUGAUGAGGGCUUAUAUCUAGCAAAUGUGUAUAGAAAAAAUACUUUUAGACUCCUCCCCAGAAAGAAACCCUACUGAAUUCUAGAGAUGAAAUCCAGAAGCUUUAUUCCUUGAAUAAUCUGAGACUGCCUAUAAUCUCCAUGUCAAACAUCAGCACUGAAACCAUCUAAACCCUUGUUGAAUAGAUAGAAAUUACUUAGGUUCAUCUCAGAGAGCUACACAGUCUUUGCUCUGUGGGAUAUUCCCAAAGUUUUAAGGCCAUCGUAUAUUAUCUGGGCAUUUAGAAUUAAUUCAAUUUUUUUUCUUUCACCGUUUCCCUAUUUCUAGAUUAUAGGACCCCAAGCCUAAGAUACAUUUAUGAGAAGUUUUUCACACUACUACAGUCUCCCUCUUUCUCUUGUGUGCACCAUGUUGUGCCUGUUUCUGUUGUUUUUGACAUGUGCUUAAUCAACCAUCAGAGUAAUUCUCCACUGACUCUCUCCAGCCACUGGACUACAAAGAGAAUAUGUUAUUACAGAAAUCCAUUCCAACCAAGGGGAAUUUGAAGGAAGGAUACAGGAAUUUCGCUUAGAAUGCAAGAACAAUGGCAUGACCAUUUAUAUAUAGAAGAUCUGGAAGAAUCAACAUUAAAAAAAAGUCCUGGAACUAAUAUUAUAGCACUAUUGCACAAUACAAGGACCCCAGUGAAAAUUGGACUGUUCAACUCACCUGGCCACCACUUCCAGAGCCCCUGGAACUCUGGCCCAAGGCUCUCUGAUUGACUCCUUCCCAGAUCUUCUGAGCUCAGCAGCUGAAGACUGAUGCUGCCUGAUUGCCUCAGAAGCAUCCUGGACCAUCACAGAUGCUUUAGGUAACUCUUACAGUAGAAGAGAAGCAAAUGAUAAGAGAAUUCAUCCCCACUAGAUCAGCCCUAUAAGAAAUGUUCAAAGAAGUCUGAACACGGAAAUGAAAGGAUGAUACUUGCUACCAUAAAAGUACACGCUGGAGUUCAGUGGCGUGAUCUUGGUUCACUGCAACUUCUGCCUCCCGAGUUCAAGCGAUUCUCCUGCCAUUUGACCCAGUCAUCCCACUACUGGGUAUCAUCUACCUACAGCGAUAACCUGCUCUGCGUGAGGGCUACAUGUUCCCAGCUGGUUGAAGAUCCUUGCUGACAGACUGCACAGUGAUGGAUAGCCACACACCCCUGUACUGCCAAGAUGGCCUAUAUGCUCCACGCCAUCCUUUGGGAGGAAGCAAAGUAGCAUUGCCAUGUCAGAAAACCUCGAAGUCAAGAAUAAUUUGAAAUGCUGCAUCGUUUUUAAUCCUGAGAGACAGAAUAAGUAAUUGAUUCUUUCCAGCUCACAAAUUUGUAGAACUAUUCCGACUCAGUUUCAAUGGAAAUUAAUGCUAGACUUGAUUAAUAUGUGUUGCUUUUGAAUUAUGUACUAUAAAACUCCUAAGGACAAAACAACUUUUUAUGAAGAAUUUAUAAGUCAUCUGUCUAUAAUACAAGUCAGGUGUGUCAUUCUUUCAAUUACCAAGAUGUUCUCCCUUUACCAAACUUUAGUUAGGCUCCUCCGAGUUCUCUUUUUAAUUAGACUUCAACCUUUGGACUUUCAUGUUCAUCUGUACAUCACUCAGUUUUAGCAAGAAUCUUGUCAAGUUGGUUUAGUUAGAAUCCCACCCCUAUAACUGAUCAUCCUCAAUAUCUGAUCAAAUUUUUCAGUCCCCAUCACCCCUUAGGUGAUAUCUGAUUAACCUGGCCUGCCUUCAGCCAGGAAUUCUGUUAGGUCAGUUUAGCAAGAAUUCCACCCCCACUCCUCAAUCCCCGCCUUAUCUCUGAUGUUUCCAUCUUCUGGCCCCUCCUCUGCUUCUUAGUUAUAAAUCCUCACUUGUCCACGCUGUAUUCAGAAUUGAGCCUAGUUCCAUACUGAGGUAUUUUCCCCCUAUUGAAAUAGGUCCUGAAUACAAUAUAUUGUAACUGCUUUAAAUACUGUCUGCUUCUGGAUUUCUUUGUUGAAAUAAAACCAAAUUGUCCAGGUAAAACUUCAGUUUGUUUCUAAGCUGACUUCUGGAAAAAUUGAGCUUUACAAACACAUGCCAAGGCUCCUAUUUGAGUUUUCAAGUCAGAUAAAGAAAUCAAAAUUUAAUGUCUCCCAGAAAAGUGAAAAGUAUGAGAGAAAAUCCCUGAACAAAUCGAGCCCUUUUAUGUGAACAAAAGAUGUGACUAGAAGAGUCUGGCACAUAAGUAUGCAUAUAAUUAAAAAGAAAAAAGAACUUUCACAAAGCACUUACAUUGGCAACAUAAGCACACAUGUUUUUGAUUGAAUUGACAAGUUAUUAUUCUUUGGUUCCAACAUAUUAAUUAAAAAAUACAACUUGAGAUUGCAAAAAAAGAAAAUCAAGAAGAUAAAAUGAGAAAAAGAUCCAGUGGCUCAAAACUCUCCUUUAUUUAUAAGCCAGAAACCUGAAAAUUGUCUUUGAAUUUUUCUCUGUCAAAUCUCUAAUUAAUUAUUGACCCUUGCCAAUUUUCCCAUCUGAAUCUCUCUUGAAUUCAUAUACAUUGUUCCCACUUUUAGUAGUAAUACUCUGAUCUAGACUAUAAUAAUUUUUUACCUGUUUUGCACCAUGGCACAAAUAACUUCUCUCCUUUACUCCAAAUUGCAGUUUACUUCCCACACCAAAAGGAGACUAAUAUUCUUAAAAUCAUAUAUUCAUCCUUUUAAGAUGAAUGACAUUCAAAAAUGUCGGUCCCCCCAUAAGAGUGAGAAAAAGUUGGAUAAAUGUCAAGUUAUAGCUUUUAUGAGUCAUCCAAAGAACUGAGGUCAUAAGGCAACUGAGUAUUCUGAACUUUAGGAAAUGACAGAACCCUCAAAGAAGAGCUGGGACAAUGAGCAAAGCCAACACACAAGAGGGUAAAAAGAAAUUGAACAAUUUUCUAAACAUCAAAUGUGGAUAGCUUGUCAGUCUAGAAUAUCCUGAAGCCCCUGAUACAAGGGGAGUGAGUAACCUUUUGCAAGAUAUUUUCCUUGGACUUCCGCUAGGUGCUCCUACAAAAGUUUAGAAAUCCUGACGAAGGCCAGAGAGAGCCAUACUGGUGGUGAAGACGUGUAGGAGAAAGAGCAGCAGGCAAGCAAGACAUGAAUGACGACAACAAAUACUAUGCAGUUCCAGAGAACCUUCUUUCUUUUGAUACAAUAGUUUAAACUUCUGGGGAAGUAGCAGCAGACCUAAUGCUCUCUUCUUCCACUAUCUAAAUUGAUUUUCCCUUCAUGAUAGACUUCUUUCAAUAACUUGCAUUUCCCAUGAUUUCUCUCUUAAGGCUUCUGCAUACACCAUUUCCUCUGCCUAGGAAAUUGCUAUCUACUUCUGUGUAAUUUGUCUUCUAAUCUUUCAAACGUAUAUUUAAUUUUGAUGCUACUUUCCAUUAAUAAGUCCUCAUUGCCUCACUCAACUUAUUUGUACCUCAAGGUUUAAGCAUGUGUCUUAGAUACUUCAUCUAUUAUUUUAUACACUUUUUGUAAUAUUUACUGUUACUGAUUGUUUCUUCUAGACUGUAAGUUUCCUGAGAACAUAAACUACCUCCAUCUUGCACAAAUUUGUAUGCCCAGUACAAAGCACAGAAGAUUUAAAUUGCUGUUUAAAAGUUAUUAAACAGAAAAAUUGUUUACUACUAUUGAUGAAUAAAAAGUGCACAGAUUUUCUUAGAAAAAACUGUAUGCAUAUACUUCCAUGAAAAAUACUUUGUUGAACCUUAGGUCUAGCCAUAAUGAUCUCACAUUCUACACCAUUUCUAGGCAUUUGCACCUUCCUAAUAAAUACUCUUUCUAAUGACUGCAUUCUGUACUAAAUUCUAUUUUUUUAAUAAAUGGCCCAGUGAUAACUCCUCUGAAGUUAUCAAUUGCCAUCAAAAUACCAUACAAACAUAAAACCUGGUAUUUACAUUGAUAACCUUGCUUCUCAUUAAGAUUUUUUAUUUGCAAUAAUAGCUUACAUUGGAGAAUAUUAUCCAGUGGAAGAGGAUACAUAUUUGAUUAUCUCCGUAACAAGAAACAGAAAUUAUAGAACUAAUGCCAGGCAUUAAAAAUUCGUAAGAGAAAUUAUACUAUCAUCUUGAGGAAGCAGCAAAGUUUCAUGAUAGUUUUAAUACACUAAGUAUUUUGUCUGUAAAAUAAAAUUGAAUAUUUUUACAAGAGCAUUCUCAAAUAGCACAUGCAUAGCCCACCUUAAUUGCUUUUUAAAGGCAUAUCAGAUCCUUGGGA